GAUGAAGAACGUAGCGAAAUGCGAUAAGUAAUGUGAAUUGCAGAAUUCAGUGAAUCAUCGAAUCUUUGAACGCACAUUGCGCCCGCCAGUAUUUUGGCGGGCAUGCCUGUUCGAGCGUCAUUUCAACCAUCAAGCCCCCCGGCUUGUGUUGGGGACCUGCGGCUGCCGCAGGCCCUGAAAAGCAGUGGCGGGCUCGCUGUCACACCGAGCGUAGUAGAUCUCAUCUCGCUCAGGGCGUGCUGCGGGUUCCGGCCGUUAAACCACCUUCAUAACCCAAGGUUGACCUCGGAUCAGGUAGGAAGACCCGCUGAACUUAAGCAUAUCAAUAAGCGGAGGA
rnacentral:misc_RNA from 1 species